CUUUGCAGCCAGGCUGCUCCCGCUGAUGGCAGCGGAGGAGCCGACGUGUGGCACUGCAUCGCCCGCAGCGCCCGUACAGCUGAGCGCACACACGUGCGCAGGGAGCGUUUUAACGCAGAGCCUUCCGCUCUCCCGGCGCGGCCCAGGAGAAAACACCGCGUCCCGCCCCGCUGCUGCCGGGAGGAACAGUGAUGCGGUGGGUUCUGUUUGCACGACUUCGGUGAAAAACUGUCUGCGAUGAAAGUGCAGCCGUGGAGCGGAGCGGCGCGCAGUGCGCUCCGGGGGAAGCUCAGACUGCAGUCCGUGCGCUCUGUGCUGCUGCUGCAAAACCGCCGUGAGCGGCGGCACGAGGGGGGGCACUGACAGCACACCACGGUGACACCGCCCUGUGGGGCGGGGGGGGAUGGGGAUCCAGGGGUAUGGGGUUGGGUUUGGGGUCUGGGAGGUGAUGGGGAUCCAGGGGUAUGGGGUUGGGUUUGGCACUGGGAGGUGAUGGGGAUCCAGGGAUAUGGGGUUGGGUUUGGGGUCUGGGAGGUGAUGGGGAUCCAGGGAUAUGGGGUUGGGUUUGGCACUGGGAGGUGAUGGGGAUCCAGGGAUAUGGGGUUGGGUUUGGGGUCUGGGAGGUGAUGGGGAUCCAGGGACAUGGGAUUAAGUUUGGGGUCUGGGAGGUGAUGGGGAUCCAGGGAUAUGGGGUUGGGUUUGGCACUGGGAGGUGAUGGGGAUCCAGGGAUAUGGGGUUAGGUUUGGGCUCUGGGAGGUGAUGGGGAUCCAGGGAUAUGGGGUUGGGUUUGGGGUCUGGGAGGUGAUGGGGAUCCAGGGAUAUGGGGUUGGGUUUGGCACUGGGAGGUGAUGGGGAUCCAGGGAUAUGGGGUUAGGUUUGGCACUGGGAGGUGAUGGGGAUCCAGGGAUAUGGGGUUGGGUUUGGGGUCUGGGAGGUGAUGGGGAUCCAGGGAUAUGGGGUUGGGUUUGGGGUCUGGGAGGUGAUGGGGAUCCAUGGAUAUGGGGUUGGGUUUGGCACUGGGAAUGAUGCUGAGCUGCGGGUGCUGGGGGAGCAGUCAGCCUCGCAUGGCCGCGUGGUGGGAUCUGUGCCGGAGCCCUAUUUGUAGUACAGCACACAAUGGGCGAUGGGCCGUCGGUGAUGAGCGACGGGAGGUGAGGGGUGGAUGAUGGGUUGUGGGAUGUCAAUGGGGUCAGUGGUUGGUGGUGGGUGGUGGGUGAUGGGCAGUGGGCAGCGGUGGGUGAUGGGGAAUGGGCAAUAGGUGCCGGGCAAUGGGCGAUGGGUGCUGGGCGAUGGGCGAUGGGCGAUGGGUGAUGGCACCCAGCGGGGGUCGGGGGUCCCAGGGCUCCUCACAUCCAUCCCCACUGCUUCAAAGGGACAGGACUGUGCCUGUGGGUGCGCGCUGCUGCCCCGCACGGGGCUCAUUAACGGUUCGAUGGGGGAGAAGCGUGUCCCCGUGGCGUGGCGCCGAGGUGGGCUCCGUCCCACCCGCCCCGCAUCGCACGGGAGCUGCGGGGAAGUGCAGCGGCUGUUUGCUAAGGAGGGGGGCGCCGCCGCCACUAAAGGAGGAGCCGCGUUCGGGUUUGGGGCGGAG
ensembl:lncRNA